AAGUCGUAACAAGGUUUCCGUAGGUGAACCUGCGGAAGGAUCAUUAUCGUAACAAAUGUGUUGAGGCAUGCAACGGCUGUCCUGACCAAAAGUCGUGCACGCCAGGGUGUGUCCUCUCACAUAAAAUCCUCUCACCCUUUUGUGACCACCGCGUGGGGCACCCUUCGGGGAUCGAACAGAUCCAGGAGGGGGGCUUGCGUUUUUGCACACAAAACCCCUUUUUAAAAGUGUAGAAUGACCCCACUUUUGCGAUAACACGCAUCAAUACAA
rnacentral:misc_RNA from 1 species